rnacentral:rRNA from 1 species
AUUGAACGCUGGCGGCAGGCCUAACACAUGCAAGUCGAACGAGUGGCGGACGGGUGAGUAAUGUCUGGGAAACUGCCUGAUGGAGGGGGAUAACUACUGGAAACGGUAGCUAAUACCGCAUACAAUCAGUUGUCCCAAGAUGUGAUGAGCUUGUUGGUGGGGUAACGGCGCACCAAGGGGACGAUCCAUAGCUGGUCGGAGAGGAGGACAAGACAAACUGGAACUGAGACAAGGUCCAGACGCCUAAGGGAGGGAGCAGUGGGGAAGAUUGCACAAUGGGCGCAAGCCUGAGGCAGCCAUGCCGCGUGUAUGAAGAAGGCCUUCGGGUUGUAAAGUACUUUCAGCGGGGAGGCGUUACCCGCAGAAGAAGCACCGGCUAACUCCGUGCCAGCAGCCGCGGUAAUAC